CCAGGGGCCCCAGGAUCUCCGGGAGCUCAAGGCAUCCAGGGCAUUCGUGGCAACCCCAGCAUCCCAGGGUCACAGGGAGACAGAGGGGCUCCAGGUCUGCCUGGGAUGCCAGGACAGAAGGGGGAGCGUGGGAAGAGAGGCCGGAAUGGAUUUCCUGGACCCCCGGGACCAUCAGGACCCCCAGGAAAGGAGGGGAUUCCUGGGACACCUGGACCCAAAGGCAACAAGGGAGAAAUUGGCUUUGGAGCAGCUGGACCAAGAGGACCUCCUGGACUGCCUGGCCCUCAGGGUGAUGAAGGCAUCAUGGGAAUCCGGGGUCCUCCUGGCAUAAUGGUGAGUGGUGAAAUAGAAUAAAGGG
rnacentral:lncRNA from 14 species